UCACUGGAGGACUAGUGGUAAGGCCUCAGCGCUCUCACCGCUGUGGCCUAGGUUCAAACCCUGGCCAGGGAA
rnacentral:tRNA from 1 species